rnacentral:rRNA from 1 species
GUCGCAUGCUCCCGGCCGCCAUGACGGCCGCGGGAAUUCGAUUCGUAUUACCGCGGCUGCUGGCACGGAGUUAGCCGGAGCUUAUUCUCCCGAUACUGUCAUUAUCAUCCCGGGUAAAAGAGCUUUACAACCCUAAGGCCUUCAUCACUCACGCGGCAUUGCUGGAUCAGGCUUUCGCCCAUUGUCCAAUAUUCCCCACUGCUGCCUCCCGUAGGAGUCUGGGCCGUGUCUCAGUCCCAGUGUGGCUGAUCAUCCUCUCAGACCAGCUAAGGAUCGUCGCCUUGGUGCGCCUUUACCACACCAACUAGCUAAUCCUACGCGGGCUCAUCCCUCGGCGAUAAAUCUUUGGACUUACGUCGUCAUCCGGUAUUAGCAGUCAUUUCUAACUGUUAUUCCGAACCAAGGGGCAGAUUCCCACGCGUUACGCACCCGUGCGCCACUAAGGCCGAAGCCUUCGUUCGACUUGCAUGUGUUAGGCAUGCCGCCAGCGUUCGUUCUGAGCCAUGAUCAAACUCUAAUCACUAGUGAAUUCGCGGCCGCCUGCAGGUCGACCAUAUGGGAGAGCUCCCAACGCGU